GUGCCAGCCGCCGCGGUAAUACAUAGGGGUCAAGCGUUGUCCGGAUUUAUUGGGCGUAAAGAGCUCGUAGGCGGUUCAACAAGUCGGUCGUAAAAGUUUAGGGCUCAACCCUAAAAUGUCGAUCGAUACUGUUGUGACUAGGAUACGGUAGAGGUGAAUGGAAUUCCGAGUGUAGCGGUGAAAUGCGUAGAUAUUCGGAGGAACACCAAUUGCGAAGGCAGUUCACUGGACCGUGAUCGACGCUGAGAACGCUAGCCUGGGGGGUCAAACAGGAGUAGAUG
rnacentral:rRNA from 1 species